UGUUUAACAAAAACACAGCUCCCUGCAAACUCGUAAGAGGAAGUAUAGGGGGUGAUGCCUGACCAAUGCGAGAAGGUUAACGCCGGCGUUCCUAUGUAGCAAUAUGUAGGGGUGACUGGCCGAAGCCCUCGUCAAUGUCGGCCGUAACUAUAACGGUCCUAAGGUAGGAAAGCUGCCUUAGUAAAAUUUGGCUAUAUGCUGGAAACACUGUUGUAUCUCAGCGUACUAUGGUAUAUUUAAACCAUAGUGAAAAUCGUAUGAGUGCAGUCAAUCAGCAGGGAAGUUAUAAAAAAAUAUGGAACAAAAUAAAACAUUCGAACAACUUAAACAAGAACACGAAGAAUUUCAUGAAAGACUUAAGCGUGAUGAAGAAUGGUGGAAAAACGAAAGAGCCGAAGAUAAGAAAAAAUCUAGACAGAAUAUACUUGAGCACAUCAAAGAACUAGAAGAAGAACUUUCUAAGACACAAGAACAGAACGAAGACACAGCACAACUGAAAGCCCAUUUAGAAUGGUUGCGAGAAGAGUUGGAAACAUAUAAAUAACCCCUCAGAGACUACACGCCAAAAUCGCCGAAGCGGCGAUAAGAUAUAGUCCGAUCUCAUGGGCGACCAUGAGGAUCUCUGAUUAAUUUUAUCAGAGUGAUAACGUUCAGAGCGAAAUUCCUUGUCUGGUGAGUUCAGACGCGCACGAAAGGUACAACGACUGGGGGACUGUCUCGGGGAUUUACUCGGUGAAAAUGCGAUACCGGUGAAGAUGCCGGUUAAGUGCAGUUAGACGAAAAGACCCCGGAAGCUUUACUGUAAGUUGUUAUUGGCUUUAUGUUUUGGAUACGUAGCGUAGUGGGGAGGCUUUGAAGUUCCGCUCUCGGGCGGGAUGGAGCCGCCAAUGAAACACCCAUUUUUUAAAAUGUAAAAUCUAACCUGACACGCCAAACGUGCCGGGGACAGUAGCUGCUGGGCAGUUUGUGUGGGGCGCAAGCCUCCUAAAAAGUAACGGAGGCGUUUAUUAAGGUCGGCUUGGCGCGGAUGGACAUCGCGCUGGACCUGUAAGAGGAAAAGCCGGCUUGACUGGAAGGGGGACAUCCCGACCAGAUGGGAAACCAGAAUCUAGUGAACCGACCGUCGGCACUCGAUGCCGCGGAAGAUUAACGGAUAAAAGCUACUCCGGGGAUAA
rnacentral:rRNA from 1 species